rnacentral:rRNA from 1 species
UACGUAGGGCGCAAGCGUUGUCCGGAAUUAUUGGGCGUAAGAGCUCGUAGGCGGUCUGUCGCGUCGGAUGUGAAAAUCCAGGGCUCAACCCUGGACCUGCAUUCGAUACGGGCAGACUAGAGUUCGGUAGGGGAGACUGGAAUUCCUGGUGUAGCGGUGAAAUGCGCAGAUAUCAGGAGGAACACCGGUGGCGAAGGCGGGUCUCUGGGCCGAAACUGACGCUGAGGAGCGAAAGCGUGGGAGCAAACAGG